rnacentral:misc_RNA from 1 species
GUGAAUCAUCGAAUUUUUGAACGCAAAUUGCACUCUCCUCGGAGAGUAUGCCUGUUUGAGGGUCAGCCUAUAAAAAAUCGAAAUCGUUGCUGUUUCGCGGUGGCGUUCGUCGGACAUUGGGUCAUCUUAAAUCUUUUGGUGUUAAGCGAAUUAAAAUUUUCUUUUUGGUUCCAUGAACGUUUCUAAGAUUUAUUUCUUUACACGUUUAAGGUAUCGAUUUUUAUUAGAUGUGACUAUCAUACCGCAUCGCGCCUAUAUUAUU